AUACGGAGGGGACUAGCGUUGUUCGGAAUUACUGGGCGUAAAGCGUACGUAGGCGGAUCAGAAAGUAUGGGGUGAAAUCCCAGGGCUCAACCCUGGAACUGCCUCAUAAACUCCUGGUCUUGAGUUCGAGAGAGGUGAGUGGAAUUCCGAGUGUAGAGGUGAAAUUCGUAGAUAUUCGGAGGAACACCAGUGGCGAAGGCGGCUCACUGGCUCGAUACUGACGCUGAGGUACGAAAGUGUGGGGAGCAAACAGAAUUAGAAACCCUAGUAGUCC
rnacentral:rRNA from 1 species